UACGGAGGGAGCAAGCGUUACUCGGAAUUACUGGGGGUAAAGGGCGCGUAGGCGAUUUUGUAAGUCUUGUGUGAAAGCCCAAAGCCUAACUUUGGAAGUGCACAAGAUACUGCGAGAAUUGAGUUCCGGAGAGGAAGAUGGAAUUCCCGGUGUAGCGGUGAAAUGCGCAGAUAUCGGGAAGAACACCCGUGGCGAAGGCGGCUCUCUGGGACGGUACUGACGCUGAGACGCGAAAGCGUGGGGAGCGAACGGG
rnacentral:rRNA from 1 species